GGUUCCCUACGGGACGCAGCAGUGGGGGAUAUUGCACAAUGGGGGAAACCCUGAUGCAGCGACGCCGCGUGGGUGAAGAAGCGCCUCGGCGCGUAAAGCCCUGUCAGCAGGGAAGAAAAUGACGGUACCUGAAGAAGAAGCCCCGGCUAACUACGUGCCAGCAGCCGCGGUAAUACGUAGGGGGCAAGCGUUAUCCGGAUUUACUGGGUGUAAAGGGAGCGUAGACGGCAGUGCAAGUUCGGAGUGAAAGCCCGGGGCUCAACCCUGGGACUGCUCUGGAAACUGUAAAGCUGAAGUGCGGGAGG
rnacentral:rRNA from 1 species